rnacentral:rRNA from 1 species
AUUGAACGCUGGCGGCAUGCUUUACACAUGCAAGUCGAGCGGCAGCGCGGGGCAACCUGGCGGCGAGCGGCGGACGGGUGAGUAGAGCAUCGGAACGUAUCCCGUAGUGGGGGAUAACCCAGCGAAAGCUGGGCUAAUACCGCAUAUGCUCUACGGAGGAAAGUGGGGGACUCGCAAGGGCCUCACGCUAUGGGAGCGGCCGAUGUCCGAUUAGCUAGUUGGUGGGGUAAAGGCCCACCAAGGCGACGAUCGGUAGCUGGUCUGAGAGGAUGAUCAGCCACACUGGGACUGAGACACGGCCCAGACUCCUACGGGAGGCAGCAGUGGGGAAUUUUGGACAAUGGGGGCAACCCUGAUCCAGCCAUGCCGCGUGCGGGAAGAAGGCCUUCGGGUUGUAAACCGCUUUUGUCUGGGAAGAAAAGGCCUCGUCUAAUACACGGGGUUCUUGACGGUACUGGAAGAAUAAGCACCGGCUAACUACGUGCCAGCCGCCGCCGUAACAC